UCAAAACUUUUCAGCUAGAGUUUGAUAGAGGAAAGCAGAAUUUCUAGUGUAGAGGUGAAAUUCGUAGAUAUUAGAAAGAAUACCAAUUGCGAAGGCAGCUUUCUGGAUCAUUACUGACACUGAGGAACGAAAGCAUGGGUAGCGAAGAGGAUUAGAUACCCUCGUAGUCCAUGCCGUAAACGAUGUGUGUUAGACGUUGGAAAUUUAUUUUCAGUGUCGCAGCGAAAGCGAUAAACACACCGCCUGGGGAGUACGACCGCAAGGUUAAAACUCAAAUGAAUUGACGGGGACCCGCACAAGUAGUGGAGCAUGUGGUUUAAUUCGAAGAUACGCGCAGAACCUUACCAACACUUGACAUGUUCGUCGCGACUUUAAGAGAUUAAAGUUUUCGGUUCGGCCGGACGAAACACAGGUGCUGCAUGGCUGUCGUCAGCUCGUGUCGUGAGAUGUUGGGUUAAGUCCCGCAACGAGCGCAACCCUCACUUUUAGUUGCCAUCAUUAAGUUGGGCACUCUGAAAGAACUGCCAGUGAUAAGCUGGAGGAAGGUGGGGAUGACGUCAAGUCCUCAUGGCCCUUACGUGUUGGGCUACACACGUGCUACAAUGGUAUCUACAACAGGAAGCAAAACAGCGAUGUUAAGCAAAUCCUUAAAAGAUACCUCAGUUCGGAUUGCACUCUGCAACUCGAGUGCAUGAAGCUGGAAUUACUAGUAAUCGUGGAUCAGCGUGCCACGGUGAAUGCGUUCCCGGGUCUUGUACACAUCGCCCGUCACACCAUGGGAGUUGGUUCUACCUUAAGGCAAGGUUUUAAACCCUUGACCACGGUAUAGUCAGCGACUGGGGUGAAGUCGUAACAAGGUAACCGUA
rnacentral:rRNA from 1 species